AGGAGCCAGAUGAGACAUCCUGUGUAUGAUGAUGGAAUAUACUGUGGAAAAUAUAUGCAGCAUUACUCGUUUUUGGUCUCCUGCAUAUGUGACAUCCCCAGGAACUGCAUUGGGAAACAAUUUGCUAUGAGUGAGCUGAAGGUGAUUGUGGCCCUGACACUACUCCGCUUCAAGCUACUGCCAGAUCCUACCAGGGUCCCCAUGCCCUUAGCCCGACUUGUGCUGAAGUCCAAAAAUGGGAUCUACCUACAUCUCAAGAAGCUCCACUGAUUCUGUUGUGGAGCUCCAAUGCCUGAGAUGAGUUUCACUGGCAGAAAGCUAAGUUGUUGGUGUGACCAACCUUCUUCAGAAGAGUACUCCAGAGAGUCCUCUCCUCCUCUGUUCAGUAUAGAUCAUCGUUUCUUGGCACUGGAAUAUUCCCCUGCUUCAAAGCCAGCACCCACCUCAUCCCCUCUCUUCUAAUGUCCAUCCCUUUUACAAAUGCUUAUGACAUUAUCAAGAUCCCUAAAAGCUCCAAGAUAGUUUUCCCAUCUAAAUGUAUCUUAUUCAAUCUAACCUACUAAGUUCCUUUUGAAUUAUGAGGAAUUAUUCAAUAUGUACCAUGGGCUCCAAAUCCCAAGGCCUGAACAUCAUUGUGA